rnacentral:tRNA from 1 species
GCGUAGCUCAGUUGGUAGAGCGUCGGUCUCCAAAACCGAAUGUCCGGGGUUCGAAUCCUCG